rnacentral:rRNA from 1 species
CAGCCGUAAACUAUGCGCGUUAGGUGUACUGGUGACCACGAGUCACCGGGUGCCGAAGGGAAACCGUGAAACGUGCCGCCUGGGAAGUACGGUCGCAAGGCUGAAACUUAAAGGAAUUGGCGGGGGGAGCACCACAACGGGUGGAGCCUGCGGUUUAAUUGGACUCAACGCCGGAAAUCUCACCGGAUAGGACAGACAUAUGAUAGUCGGGCUGAAGACUCUACUUGAUGAUCUGAGAGGAGGUGCAUGGCGUCAGUGACU